UACGUAGGUGGCAAGCGUUGUCCGGAUUUAUUGGGUUUAAAGGGUGCGUAGGCGGCCCUGUAAGUCAGUGCUGAAAUAUCCCGGCUUAACCGGGAGGGUGGCAUUGAUACUGCGGGGCUAGAGUACAGAUGAGGUAGGCGGAAUUGACGGUGUAGCGGUGAAAUGCUUAGAUAUCGUCAAGAACACCUAUAGCGAAGACAGCUUACUAGGCUGUAACUGACGCUGAGGCACGAAAGUGUGGGGAUCAAACAGG
rnacentral:rRNA from 1 species